rnacentral:rRNA from 1 species
GCCAGUUCACCUCCAGCAUAACGGGGUAGGUUCUUCUCUCCCACCUCUCAGUGAUCACCAGUAGUACUGCCAUUCCCCAAUCCGCCUCAACCGCCUCCCCAGCUUCCAUGGCUCGGAGCAACCCGGGGCUUCUCCUGGGGCUCCUGCUGCUGCGGCUCAAUUGGUGCUUGGCCGUGGAUGGCGGAGGCGCGGAGGAAGGGGGCGGCGUGUUUCCGGUGGUGGUGAGCACCUGGCCGUUCCGGGAGGCGGUCAGGGCGGCGUGGGACGUGGUGAAAACCGGCGGCGCAGGGGGGUCGGCUGUGGAUGCCGUCGUCGCUGGCUGCUCCGCCUGCGAGGAGCUCCGCUGCGAUGGCACAGUUGGUCCAGGUGGAAGUCCAGAUGAGAAGGGUGAAACUACCUUAGAUGCUCUUAUCAUGAAUGGGAAAACUGGCAGAAAACAAUGGAAAUUGGAGCUGUGGCUGCCAUGAGAUAUGUGAAGGAUGCAAUUAUGGCAGCAAAGUUGGUCAUGGAGCACACUGGGCAUACUCUUCUUGUUGGAGAGAAGGCAACAUCCUUUGCAAUUUCAAUGGGUCUUGCAGGACCAACUAACCUGAGUUCACCAGAGUCAAUUGAGAAAUGGUCAAAUUGGAGACAGAAUAAUUGCCAACCUAACUUUUGGAAAAAUGUUGCUCCUGCUGGCAACUGUGGUCCAUACCAUCCUAUAAAUAUACCUAAGGACCCUGUUAAAAGUGCUGUAUGGGAGAAUCAAGGAAUCACCUGUCAGGAAUGGCUCCAAAAUGAUAAUUUACUAGAACCGACAAGCUCCCAUUUCAACUCUGUUAAUCGUCACAACCAUGACACAAUCUCUAUGGCCGUCAUUGACAAGAUGGGUCAUGUAGCAGUUGGCACAUCAACUAAUGGUGCCACGUUCAAAAUUCCAGGAAGGAAUACUACUCGAAGCUUCCUUUUGAUAUGUAUAUCAACUUCUGAAAUACUCUGGGUAGGUGAUGGACCAAUACCAGGAUCUUCUGCAUAUGGUGAUGAUGAAGUUGGGGCUUGUGGAGCUACUGGUGACGGUGAUAUUAUGAUGCGCUUCCUUCCAUGUUAUCAAGUGGUGGAGAGCAUGCGACUUGGAAUGGAGCCUCGAGAUGCUGCCGUGGAUGCGAUAUCCAGAAUUGCUCGUAAGUACCCAGAUUUUGUUGGUGCUGUAUUUGCGCUUAACAAGAAAGGAGUGCAUGCUGGGGCGUGCCAUGGAUGGACCUUUCAGUAUUCUGUCAGGAAUUCCAGCAUGCAGGAUGUGGAGGUCAUCACAGUAACACCUUAACAUAGGCAGAUCAUUAUUAAAACAAAAGGCUGAUUCGCCAAUAAGGUGUAUUCCUUUAUGUCAAGUUCUCUGCAUUCACUCCCAUGGUAAUGCAACAAUAUCAUGUGGGGCUUGUUCUCGAGUCUUAUAUUGGACUGCAGUUUUCUAUUGAAACUGCCAUGUUAUAUAAUGGUAGUAGAUUCAUUGAAUGCAUUGUAGACUUCUCGAGAAAAGGCUGGAAUUGCACACAGUCAACUUUUGUCUUGCAACUACGAGUUUAAUGUAUUACUAGCCAGGUGUGCUUCUUUAAGCCAUCUUCAGAGUUUUUGUGCGGAAUAGGUCAUCUUCAGAGCUGGUAAGGGCAUAUAAUAUUUCACGUACGCUUUGUCAGCCUUGAAGAUUCCCAGAGAACCCCCUCCUUUGUUGUUGUUUUUGCAUUUGGUUUAUUUCGCACGUUUGCUCCUUCAUCAACCUAAGUUUGUUGGCAGUAUCGAGUUGACACCCAUUUCUUAUUCCUCUAUGGACAUAAAUAUGUUGUCUUGUUAAUUUUAUCAAUCAUUGUGUCUUGCAUAUUUAUGGCCAUAAUGCAAGGUUGGCAGCAUUGCUGAGGAAAAGGUUAUCUUGAUGAAGGUCGUAUUAGGC